ensembl:lncRNA
GGCCUUCUCUAUACAGGUCAACACAGGGCCCUUCUCUAUACAGGUCAACACAGGGCCUUCUCUAUACAGGUCAACACAGGGCCUUCUCUAUACAGGUCAACACAGGGCCCUUCUCUAUACAGGUCAACACAGGGCCCUUCUCUAUACAGGGCCCUCUCUAUACAGGUCAACACAGGGCCUUCUCUAUACAGGUCAACACAGGGCCCUCUCUAUACAGGUCAACACAGGGCCCUUCUCUAUACAGGUCAACACAGGGAACAGGGGAAAACACAUGUUUAGAAUAUCAGGCAGAGAGACAGAGAGAGAUCUAAUUCCUACAUGCUCCAUUUAACAUGACAUUAAUGUCCUGACAUGGAGAGAGAGAGAGAGAGAGAGAGAGAGAUGAUAACCUACACCACAUAGCCACAGUUGAUAUUGUGUGCAUUCCAAAUGGCAUCCUAUUCCCUAUGUAAUGCACUCAUUUUGGUUAGGGUUCAUAGGGCUCACAGGGCUCAGGUCAGGACUCAUAGGGCUAAUAGGGCUCAGGUCAGGGCUCAUAAGGCUAAUAGGGCUCAGGUCAGGACUCACAGGGCUAAUAGGGCUCAGGUCAGGGCUCAUAAGGCUAAUAGGGCUCAGGUCAGGGCUCAUAGGGCUAAUAGGGCUCAGGUCAGGGCUCAUAGGGCUAAUAGGGCUCAGGUCAGGGCUCAUAGGGCUAAUAGGGCUCAGGUCAGGGCUCAUAGAGCUAAUAGGGCUCAGGUCAGGACUCAUAGGGCUCAGGUCAGGGCUCAUAGGGCUCAGGUCAGGGCUAAUAGGGCUCAGGUCAGGACUCAUAGGGCUCAGGUCAGGGCUCAUAGGGCUCAGGUGAGGGCUAAUAGGGCUCAGGUCAGGACUCAUAGGGCUCAGGUCAGGGCUCAUAGGGCUAAUAGGGCUCAGGUCAGGGCUCAUAGGGCUCAGGUCAGGGGUCAUAGGGCUCAGGUCAGGGCUCAGGUCAAAAGUAGUUACAUUUAUAGGGAAUGCACACAAUUUCUUUAAUGAGCAUGAAUGACCAUAAAUAUCAGAAUGAAUAGUAGAAAGCAUUUUUAUUGAGUAAGAAAUUGAACCAACUAUGCAUUUCACAGUCUAUCUUACUUGGCAAUCGGUUAUAAUUAUCCUAUUAUAAAAUGUGCUCUUCUUAUUAACCCAUGUACACUAUACAUACAAUACACCCAGCGUGUCAACAGACCCAUCUCAACAAGCCUCCACAAUACGCUCCAGUCUACAGUGUUGUCUUCAGGCUUAAACAAUACACUCCAGUCUACAGUGUUGUGAUGCUGUCUUCAGGCUUAAACAAUACGCUCCAGUCUACAGUGUUGUCUUCAGGCUUAAACAACACACUCCAGUCUACAGUGUUGUCUUCAGGCUAAAACAACACACUCCAGUCUACAGUGUUGUCUUCAGGCUAAAACAACACACUCCAGU